rnacentral:lncRNA from 1 species
GAAUGCUUUGAUGUGGAAGAGGUUCUGGGCCACUGGGCCUGGCAAUGUCCCCAAGUCCUGGGGUUAUUGCCAUGGAUCCCUAAGGAGGCUGUCACCUGUCUCGUGACUCAUGGCCUCGGUUGUCAAAGGGCUACUAGCAAGAACCAAGCAGGGGGCAGAAUAGAGGCCCAGUAUCCUAUCCUGAUGGAGGUUACUGGUGGGAUACCAUGCUGGGAUCCCUUUGGCUGCAUCCCCAUAUGUGAUCCCAAGAGUCAUCUGAGCAAGUGUUGGUCCCAAGAGCUGGUCCAGUGGUAGUGCAAAAGAGAGACCUCUCCUCCACUUGUCAGAGGUCUCGGAGAUUCCCAGCCCUCCCAGCCCAUUGGCAGCUGGCUGUCCUUGUAGCUGUUAGCUUUCAAACACCCAGCCCAGCCCCACCCUGGGAUCCUAGGUCACAGGAAGCUAUUUGGCUACCAGCCUUGUGCACUGCAGGCCAGGGGAAUUGCUUCAGUGUCUCUGCCUGAUCCUGCUCACUGGCCCUGCCCUGCAGGUGCGGCUUCAAGUACAGAACACAGAGAAGCCUCAGUACCGAGGGACGCUGCACUGCUUCCAGUCUAUCAUCAAGCAAGAAAGUGUGCUGGGUCUCUAUAAAGGCCUGGGCUCGCCACUAAUGGGACUCACCUUCAUCAAUGCACUGGUGUUUGGGGUGCAGGGUAACACCCUCCGGGCCCUGG